UUGAAAUAAACCUGAUGGGUUGCUGCUGGCUCUCUAGGGAGCAUGUGCACACUUGUCAUCUUUAUAUCUCCACCUGUGCACCUUUUGUAGACCUGGAUAUCUUUCUGAAUGCCUGGCAUUCAGGUUUAAGGAUUGACUUUUGUCUUUCCUUACAUUUCCAGGCCUAUGUUUUCUUCAUAUACACCAUUUAUGUUAUAGAAUGUAAUGAAAAGGGCCUUUGUGCCUACAAACCUUAUA
rnacentral:misc_RNA from 1 species